AACUUUUGGCAACGGAUCACUUGGCUCUCGCAUCGUUGAAGAACGCAGCGAAAUGCGAUGAGUAAUGUGAAUUGCAGAAUUCAGUGAAUCAUCGAAUCUUUGAACGCACCUUGCGCCCUUUGGCUAUUCCGAAGGGCAUGCCUGUUUGAGUAUCAUGAACACCUCAACUCUCAUGGUUUGCCAUGAUGAGCUUGGACUUUGGGGGUCUUGCUGGCCUAUGGUCAGCUCCUCUCAAAUGAAUCAGCUUACCAGUGUUUGGUGGCAUCGCGGGUGUGAUAACUAUCUACACUUGUGGUUUUCCACCAGAUAACCUUCAGUGAUGAAGGUUCGCUGGAGCUCACAAAUGUCUCUCCUCGGCGAGGACAGCUUUCUGAACGUUUGAUCUCAAAUCAGGUAGGACUACCCGCUGAACUUAAGCAUAUCAAUAAGCGGAGGCU
rnacentral:misc_RNA from 1 species